ACUGUGAUGACUUUGCUUAAUUUGAUCCACUGGAGCUGAUGUUCUUUUCAGUUGUUCUCUAAGAAGUACUGAGUCU